UACAGAGGUCUCAAGCGUUUGUUCGGAUUCAUUGGGCGUAAAGGGUGCGUAGGUGGCGCCGUAAGUCAGGUGUGAAAUUUCGGAGCUUAACUCCGAAACUGCAUUUGAUACUGCGGUGCUUGAGGACUGGAGAGGAGACUGGAAUUUACGGUGUAGCGGUGAAAUGCGUAGAUAUCGUAAGGAAGACCAGUGGCGAAGGCGGGUCUCUGGACAGUUCCUGACGCUGAGGCACGAAGGCCAGGGGGAGCAAAACGGGG
rnacentral:rRNA from 1 species